rnacentral:rRNA from 1 species
UACGGGGGGGAGCAAGCGUUGUUCGGAUUUACUGGGCGUAAAGGGCUCGUAGGCGGUUUGUCGCGUCGGGAGUGAAAUCCACUGGCUUAACUGGUGGCUUGCUUUCGAUACGGGCAGACUGGAGGUAUGCAGGGGAGAACGGAAUUCCUGGUGUAGCGGUGAAAUGCGCAGAUAUCAGGAGGAACACCGGUGGCGAAGGCGGUUCUCUGGGCAUGUCCUGACGCUGAGGAGCGAAAGUGUGGGGAGCGAACAGG